AUUGAACGCUGGCGGCAUGCCUUACACAUGCAAGUCGAACGGCAGCACGGGUGGUUGCACCUGGUGGCGAGUGGCGCACGGGGGAGUGAUACAUCGGGACAUGUCCUGUAGUGGGGUGUAGCCCCGCGGAAGACGGGUUGAUACUGCCGACGAACUACUUAUGAAACCGGGUGACCAUGUGACCGCGCGCCUUGCGGUUAGCCGAUGGCUGAUUAGCUAGUUGGUGGGGUAAAGGCCUACCAAGGCGACGAUCAGUAGCCGGUCUGAGAGGGAGAUCAGCCACACUGGGACUGAGACACGGCCCAGACUCCUACGGGAGGCAGCAGUGGGGAAUUUUGGACAAUGGGCGAAAGCCUGAUGCAGCAAUGCCGCGUGUGUGAAGAAGGCCUUCGGGUUGUAAAGCACUUUUGUUAGGAAAGAAAAUCUUGGCACUAAUACAGUCGGGGCAUGACGGUACCGAAAGAAUAAGCCCCGGCUAACUACGUG
rnacentral:rRNA from 1 species